rnacentral:tRNA from 1 species
ACCUAGCUGGCUCAGUUGGAGGGGCAUGUGACUCUUGAUCUCAGGGUCAUGGGUUCAAGUCCCAUGUUGGGUA